rnacentral:lncRNA from 1 species
UUAAGAAUAAACUUCAAAUACCAUUCUUGUGGUUUCGUACUUUCUCACUUUAGUAUUAUGGGUUUAAAAUGUAUCAAUUUAUAAUUUUUAAUAUUCUGUGGGUUUUUUUUUUCAUCAAAUUUUUUUUUUCAUUAAAUCAGUGACAAAGUUAAAAGUAAAAUGUAUUAAAAUGAAUAUUUGAAAAGCCUAAGUGGGAUAUCUAAAGUUUUUUGUAUAUAAUUUAACGAAAUAUUAACGGAGGAGCUGACGAAAAAAAGAAAAAUAAAAGCAUAGGGUACAAAAUUGAUACACUUUAAACCAUAGGAUACUAAAGUGAAAAAAUGCGAAACCACAGAGUUGAUAUUU